rnacentral:rRNA from 1 species
UACGUAGGGGGCGAGCGUUGUCCGGAUUCAUUGGGCGUAAAGAGCUCGUAGGCGGUUCGGCAAGUCGGGUGUGAAAACUCCAGGCUCAACCUGGAGACGCCACCCGAUACUGCUGUGACUCGAGUCCGGUAGGGGACCACGGAAUUCCGGGUGUAGCGGUGGAAUGCGUAGAGAUCCGGAAGAACACCGGUGGCGAAGGCGGCCUGCUGGGCAGUUGCUGACACUGAGGCGCGACAGCGUGGGGAGCAAACAGG